rnacentral:rRNA from 1 species
AAACUUUCAACAACGGAUCUCUUGGCUCUGGCAUCGAUGAAGAACGCAGCGAAAUGCGAUAAGUAAUGUGAAUUGCAGAAUUCAGUGAAUCAUCAAAUCUUUGAACGCACAUUGCA